GUAAGGAAUAUUGGUCAAUGGGGGCAACCCUGAACCAGCCAUGCCGCGUGAAGGAUGAAGGCGUUAUGCGUUGUAAACUUCUUUUGUAUGGGAAGAAUGACAGGGAUUUAUCCUUGGAGAGACGGUACCAUACGAAUAAGCACCGGCUAACUCCGUGCCAGCAGCCGCGGUAAUACGGAGGGUGCAAGCGUUAUCCGGAAUCACUGGGUUUAAAGGGUACGUAGGCGGUUAAUUAAGUCAGUAGUGAAAGACUGUCGCUCAACGACGGAUGUGCUAUUGAUACUGGUUAACUUGAAGCAGGUUAGAGUUGGCGGAAUGGGUCAUGUAGCGGUGAAAUGCUUAGAUAUGACGUGGAACACCGAUAGCGAAGGCAGCUGACUGAGCCUUGAUUGACGCUGAGGUACGAAAGUGUGGGUAGCGAACAGGAUUAGAAACUCUUGUAGUCC
rnacentral:rRNA from 1 species